GUCUUAUUGAUGAUAAUUUUAAGUCCGGUCUGCCCAGUGAUUUAUUAAAUGGCUGCAGUAUUUUAACUGUACAAAGGUAGCAUAAUAAUUAGUUUCUUAAUUAGGAACUGGAAUGAAAGAUUGAACGAGACAAUAACUGUCUUAAUAUAAAUUUAAGAAUUUUAUUUUUAAGUUAAAAAGCUUAAAUUUUUUUAAAAGACGAGAAGACCCUAUAGAAUUUUAUAUUAUUUUUAUAUUUAAAUUAUAGUAUAUAAAUUUUAAAUUUUUAUUAAGAUUAUUUAGUUGGGGUGAUUAAAAAAUUUACUUAACUUUUUUUAUUUAUGACAUUAAUUUAUGUGUGAUUGAUCCAAUAUUUUUGAUUAUAAGAUUAAAUUACCUUAGGGAUAACAGCGUAAUUUUUUUAGAGAGUUCUUAUCGAUAAAAGAGAUUGCGACCUCGAUGUUGGAUUAAAGUUAAUUUUUAAUGUAGAAGUUAGAAUAUUAGGUCUGUUCGACCUUUGAAACUUUACAUGAUCUGAGUUUAAAUCGGCGUGAGCCAGGUUGGAUUCUAUCUUUAAAGAAUUUUAGUAUUUUAGUACGAAAGGACCAAAUAUUAUUUAUAUUAAAUUUUAUAGAAUAU
rnacentral:rRNA from 1 species